UGGGUAAGUUGGUAGAUUUUCUGACUUC
rnacentral:piRNA from 1 species